AUUGAACGCUGGCGGCAUGCCUUACACAUGCAAGUCGAACGGUAACGCGGGGCAACCUGGCGACGAGUGGCGAACGGGUGAGUAAUGUAUCGGAACGUGCCCAGUUGUGGGGGAUAACUGCUCGAAAGAGCAGCUAAUACCGCAUACGACCUGAGGGUGAAAGCGGGGGAUCGCAAGACCUCGCGCUAUUUGAGCGGCCGAUGUCAGAUUAGGUAGUUGGUGGGGUAAAGGCCCACCAAGCCAACGAUCUGUAGCUGGUCUGAGAGGACGACCAGCCACACUGGGACUGAGACACGGCCCAGACUCCUACGGGAGGCAGCAGUGGGGAAUUUUGGACAAUGGACGCAAGUCUGAUCCAGCCAUGCCGCGUGCGGGAAGAAGGCCUUCGGGUUGUAAACCGCUUUUGUCAGGGAAGAAACGCUCUGGGUUAAUACCUCGGGGUAAUGACGGUACCUGAAGAAUAAGCACCGGCUAACUACGUGCCAGCCGCCGCCGUAACAC
rnacentral:rRNA from 1 species